GCUAUCUCUCACCUAUACGUGCGCAGUCUACGCGACGACUGUAUCACUCAUCUACACUAUAUAAUAAAGAGGAAAUAUUUUUUUAUUUGUUUGUAAAGGCUUCGAAACUUCUUAACCAAUUUGAAAAAUUCCUGACUUUUGGGAAGCUAGAAUAUUCCCGAGACAUGUAUGAUAUCCUGAAUAUCCUACUGGGGAUAUUUAUUUAUUUAUUCCCUUAAUUCGGACAACUAGGGCCCAUAGAAUAUACAAUACCUACAUAAAUUAACAUUACAACAAUUAUACACUAAUACAUAUUUUUAUUUUAUUUAUUUAUUCCUUUAAUUCAGGCAACUAGGGCCCAUAGAAAAUACAAUACACAAAUAACAAUUAACAUUAAAAUAAUUAUAAACGAAUACAUACAAAUUAAAAACAAUCGUCAAGUCUAUUUGUUGACACGAAUAGGCGGUCUCGUGUUGCACUGCGUGUUGUCGCGUAGCCUCCCGCCGCGGAAUCGCCGGAAAACGGCACCUUCGCGACUCUUAAGGUCCAGUUCGUCUUGACUCGUAUAUACUCCACGAUCUCCUCGACCUUCGUGGAGUGAUGUAAACGCGAAACAUACAGCUGCGUCGUCGGUAUUGCUGGGCGCAGCAGCAUGUUCGGACCAGUCAACGCAGUUCCGCAUUGAUUUCGGCUAGAUGGCUUCUUCUUUCUUCUCUCCACGUGGUCUGGUGACGUCGACGUGAUCGAAAGUGACCGGGAGCAGCUUCCGCAAAUCCUUUGCCACGAACGACCCGGACGACGUGCCAACGUCCGUGUCGGUUUCCUUUAACAGCCUUAUAGUGUCUUGGAGACUCCUCUCUCCCUUUUCAUCUUGCCUCCGGGUCGGCAUUCGGUCUGCCAUUUGCAGCGACUCGUACAACAGCUUCUUUGCGCUGCGUAUCUCCUCCUCGGUGAAAUUCGAGGUGCAUAUUUGGGUCACACUGACCUCAUCCAUGACGUCCAGCUGGUACUACAGGAACGCCAGGACCUCGUUCGCCACGAGUUCUUCCGCACGCAUGGUAUCAGAAUAAGCGGCGGUUGACGCCGCGCUCGGCACGACAUUAAAAUAAUUUCUGCGAACAGUGCAAAUGUCCACGAAUGAACGCGAUACACUCCAAAAGUAAUAAAAAUAAGAAAAUCAAUUAAAAUCUAAGUUUAAGAUAUUGUCCCAUUCGUCUACCCCAGCUGUGUUGAACUCUCCUAAGAUCAUAGAGGCUGGGACUCUUUCUCAGAGACGUCUAUUAAGGCUGGCCCAAAUGUGUUCCAUUGGGUUAAGAUCAGGUCUGUGUGCCAGCCAUGACGAAACUUGUCUCUCGACCUCUACUACUCAUGCCCGUUUUCACCAACAACCUCCUACCGUUUCCCUAUCUAAAAGCUACUUUUAAUAAGGACCCCUCCCAAUUUGACACCUACCUAAAUUCAUUUUCACCACACUUGUACAUGGAUCCCUUAAGUAAGUGACAGAUUACUAGUUCUACAAACGAUAAUGCAAAGUCGAUAUUUUAUCGAUAAAAUGAUUUUUCUCUACUUCUUAAGAAAUAAACGUCUAUCGAGUAUAUAUUACUAAAGCCUGUGAGUUUUUUUUCUUGUGAUGUUAUUUUAAUUUAACUUAAACUACAUUACGCUAUGUUUUAUGCAAUAAAACAGUAAAGAGGUUUUCUAUAGGUGAAUUUUUACCUAUGUCAUUCGCGCGUUUGUCAAAUUGACUGAUGUGUAUGUUAAGGCGGCCAACCGUCCCGCAUUCUGCGGGACCGUCCCGCAAUGCUUGACGAAAUCCCGUUUUGAAAUUAUUAGUAAAAUAGUCCCGCAAAACGUUGUAUGCGUCCCACAUGUCCCGCAUCCCUAUUUUUCUACCACGCUUCUUCAUAACACCCACCUGCGCACACGCUCAACAGUGCAGGAACACAGAUUACCUAUACCUCUAAUAUAAUCUCGUUCUCUUUAUUUCUACUGAACUCGUGAGGCCUAAUGAUUUUGAAAUUAAGACAUUAGUGCACGCUGUGACACGAUACGACGCCUCCGGUUUUUAUUUUAUCAGUUCCGUCCGAUUAUUUUUCAAUGCCCCUCCCCCCCCCCCCUUCACAAAAGGUUAAGUCCCGCAUUCAGUUUUCGGAAAGUUGGCCGCCUUAGUGUAUGUGUACAUAGAGUGAGGUUAAUUUUGGGUUUAUUAUUGUUGAAUAGAUAAGUUUAUUUUGGCAGAGAAGAGAAAACGAGGAUAAACCUUUCUUGCAGAAGAAAAAGACAAGCUAGUGAAAUUGCUGACGUCUCAUAGAGACACAAUAUUAAACAAAAAACGGAUGGGACCACGAACGAAGCCAAAAACAAAGCUUGGAUCCAGUUACAAAUAGUUUUAAUGCGAUAGGAACCGUUUACAGUUUCAGGUGGUGCGAGAAAUUGGAAAGACGUGUAAAAACAUGCUGCGCCCAGCCCACCUCAAAUUGAAUUGGUGCAGGAGGAUGAUGAUAACACAAGGGAACAAGAUUUUUGUUGCAUGAAAUAUUACGACCAAUAUUGUAUAUUUUUGGGCUGCUAAUUGAAGAUCUGAAGUCAGAAUUUAUGUAUCAGCUUUAGUUUUUGAGAUAUCAACAAAACGUGAUUUUCAAGAAAAACACAAUUUUAUUAACAAAAAACAGCAGAAGAACAACAAUUAAGCAUCAAAAAACUUUCUUUUAUAAGAUUUUCUAGCUUGAUUCGGUUCACUAGGGCUGUCUUUAAUGCUGCAACAGUAGUUCGCCAUCAUGUUGGCAUUCCAAUGACCCUGGGACCGCUUUUCCAUAGUCCGAAUAUCUUGAUGGAACCGUUCGCGUUGUUCUUCUCUGAGAUCACAUAGAUUUUCAGGGAAAUGGUCGAAAUGGCUAAGGAGGAAGUAUACCUUGAUGCUCAUAUUACAACCAAGCCGAAAACAUCUGUUCAAAGUGAUUUGAAUAAGUUUUCAUCCAUUUUGUUUGAUAGAAAAUUUUGUGCAAUCCAAACGAAUUCGUUUCAGGCAUUUUUUUCGAUAUCGGUCAUGUAAUUAUGAAACUUACACUUACAUCAACCACCUUAUUUGUGGACCAUCAGAAAUUCCAGCUUUUAGUUUCUCUAUACUCAAAUUAUGGGACUUUUUAGAUAUGUAUUGAGCAUUUUUGUUCAGAGCUUUUACAAAUUGUUUCAUGAGCCCUAGUUUGAUGUGCAAAGGUGGUAGCACCUUUAUUAAGAUGAAGUAGUAGAUAACAAGUUAGGGUAAAUCCAUUUGGACCGUUUUUUUUUGUUAUUGCCGUUCAUAUCAUCCACGCAGAAAAACUACCUAAUGAUUCGAGGGUUCUCGCCAGAUCAUAUGUGUUUGUUACUUGAAAUGGGGUCUUUUCUUAUUUUUUCAUAACCUUGAAGAUUCGACGCAUGUUUUACAUACCAUUUUGAGACACCCAGUAGGUACCUGUCGCAGGUGUCCAAAGAAAAUCCAAAGAACUCAAAGUAGACCCGUUUCAAGAACUUCGACACGCUUAGUCUACAAUCUUUAAAUGUAUAUUCACCACAAAUAUUACAGAAUUAGUUAGUAUCAUUUUCACAAUUAUUUUGCAACAUAGAAAUAGUAAAAAUAAUAUACUUUUUAAAUAAAAUGCUCUGUUUUAUGUAAUAUAAGUGUAACUUGUUCGAACAUACGGUCAAUAGCUGUAUCUCAAAAACUAAAUCUGUUAGAAAAAAAAUGUGGGUAGAUUUGAAAUCAGCGACCUCGAAUUAGUAAACAAAAGUCGUAAAAUUUCAUGCAACACAAAAAAAGUCUAAUUUUGUUCCCUUGUGUAAUGUUUGGUACAUCAUAUGAGGACUAAUAUUAAAAUAUUUGUUUACUA
rnacentral:lncRNA from 1 species